CAGCUGAAGGCCAAGCACUAAUCAAAGUGGUCAGAUUGGGGGAGGUGAAACAGCAAAGAGAAGUUGUAUUGGUAGACCUCCCCCAGCCACAACAGGAGUCCUACAAAGUGCUCGAUAAAAAAGAAAAUAUGAACAAUUAAUGACGAACAAAAAGCACAAUUCAAAAUUUUGAUCUAUAUAAUUCUAAGGAUCACACAGAUCUAAAGGAGAGAAGAUCAGUAGCCAUCUUGUCCUUCAUCCUGCUCCCAUUUUAUAGAUGAGGAAACUGAGUACCAGAGAAAUAAAAGGACUUGUUUAAUAUCAUCCCUGUAGAAAAUCAAAGAAGUUGAACAUUGGAUGCAGGUGACAUGGAUUUACAGGGAAUUGUCAAUGCAGGGCACAGAUUCCUAUUGAGCUAUUUUGUAGAAUUCUACUGGGAGCUCCAAAGAGAGAAGCAAGUUGGAAAGGAAACCAAGAAGAAAAUGGUGUGACAGGCAAAUGGAGGCCAAUUGGCAGUGCAACAGCGGAGAGUGGAGAGAAAGGGAAGAAAGAUGCUUUGGAUGAGUCGCUGGUAGUCAUACCCACUCCAUUCUUCUGGUUUAAUUAAGCCUGUUCUCUCCAGUCCAUUCUCACUGACUCAUCUAAUAAAGUCUUAUCACCACUUUGCUUCUGUUCCUUA
rnacentral:lncRNA from 1 species